AGCAUUAGAUUGUGAAUCUAAAGAUAGAGAUCAAUCUUCUCUUAUCUACC
rnacentral:tRNA from 1 species